CUUUUUAAAUUAGAGCCCCAUCCUUUAGUUUGUAAAAGGUUUUGAGUAUUUGUUUGAUUUAUGUUUCUUUGACUGUUUUUACAGCUAAAAUUGAAUUUAUUAAAGAUGUUUCAACCAUUGUAAGUCAGUCACUCUCCAUGAAUCUGUACAUAUAAAUUAUGCCUUGUUCUGAUGGGUAAAAAUAACUAUCCAAUUCAUGCAUUUUCCAUUUGUAACUCAAUUUAGAACAAUCGGAAUUACUGUUCCUGCGUCGGGUUUCUUGAGAUUCAGUCGUGGAGUUUAAUAUUACUGAUAGAGUUUACAAGGGUGCCACUUGUGAAAUCUAUGCUCUCAAAUAGGAAGAUGAUGGUGUUCGUGAUUCGACUUCUUUAGCCACCUCCAUAUAUGAAUCAAGUGAUGUUGGUCAUGUACCUUUCCUUGAUCGAUAAGUAGAAGCUUGGGUUCAUAAUGGGAAAUCCAUGGUUAUAUCUCAUAUCAGCAAAGAAAUUUGGAUAACAAUAUGAUCACUAUAACCCCUUGAAUCCGAAUUUGUUGUUCAUAGCCGGCUUCAUAUAUGUUACAUAUUGGCACAUUCAAUUAUCUAUUGAUUAAAUGUAAUGUAGUGUUUACUUCUUCGAUAGCUCAUCUGUAGGUUUCCUUUUGUCCCUUUUCUUUGUGUAAGUUUCCAAAGCAAGGUAAUAAGUUUGUUUCUAUAUUCUUCUACAUAUACAUUCCAUGAAGUGAAAAGGAAAUGUGAUAGGAGAAAAGAGGUAUUGCUACUUGUGAUUUAAUGCCAUGUAUACUGUGGCUUUACUCAUACCUGCUCCAAUAUGAUUUAAUUUUAAGUUCACGAUGAUACGUAAGAGAUUUGUGGUGCAUUCCAAGAUUUAGGCACAGGUUGCAUGUUUAUGUGAACUUAAAUGUUAAAGCCAAAAUAUGUACAUUCCCAUAAGAAACUUGUUGAUCAUAAAACGGUGAAAUCGGCAUUUUUAGGACAUGUCAAACCUGCUUAGGUAUUUUAAAAGUAUUACUUGAUUGAUUAAUUUACCUUUCAUGGGUAGUAGAGGAAGCAUUUUAAUCUAGGUCUAGACUCGAUAUAUGAUCUCUAAAUCCUGAAAGCAUCAAUGUCAUGAUAAAAAAGUUGCAGUCAGAUUGGAUUAUGGACAUGUACAUGGUCCCAAAAAAACUAAUUCCUUUUGGAUGAUUUUGGACAUGUUGGGUAGACUAGGACACAUUGCCGUCGCAAUAGCAACAACAUGCUAUCUCGUUUCAAUUUUGAAAAGAUGAAAAGCAUGGAUAAGAGCAUAAUAUAAUAACAUGAUAAAGUUUUAGAUUGAAAGAACACGAAAAGUAAAGCUAUACAUAUUACUAAAGGAUGGCUUUGCCGGCCUCUUUUACCAUUAGUACACCUACAAGGACAAUGCCGGCCUUGGCCCAAGGCAAACUAGGCCAUUGCCUUGGGCCUCAUAAUUUUGAGGGCCUCACAUCAGGUGGGGGUGGGGGGGGGGACCUCAAAGCUAUCUCUAAUUUUAGAUUUUUUUAUGACCCUUCCAAAUAAUAUAAAUUUUGGCAUCAUUAAAACAAAUUCUAGAUUUUUGACUUGACACCAAUAUAGAAACUUCUUCAAAACAAAUUUGACCUUACCGUAAGGAAAGCUGAUCUAGCAACAUGAAAUUAUUUUACUUUUGCCUUUUUGUUAAUUAAGAAAUAUACCAUUUUGACAAAAGAAAUCAAAAUUAAGAACAAUUUCCUUUCAGCCACUAAACUACAUCUAUUAUAUUACUUCACAGUACACAAAAUAAGAAGAGAUAAAAAUUAUUAUAUAAUCUCUAUGUUAGUAAGAAAUAUUUAAUUUAAUGUGUGAAUUUUACGUUUGCAUUCUUAUAUUUAAUUCCUCAAUGAACAUUUGAUAACUCAAAUGUGUGUACCAAUUCCUUUUGCAUCUCAAAAUGUGAGAAUAUUAAAUAUUCUACUAGUCUAAUCUCUCGAGUUGCGAGAGAUGAUUUAUUUUGCUAGUCUAUCUCUUUAAUUGCAUGAAAUCUUCAUUUUAAUAUAGAAAUAUUAUUUGGUUAAGUAUUUAAGUACACACACACACACAUAUAUACACUCGAGGCUGGCCUGUACAAGGACCUCAUUAAAAUGUUGCUCAUUAGGAUUGCUUCACUAAAAGCUAUUAGGAGUUACUCGCACCUUCGGUUGACUCCUGUUCGUGGAGAGGUAUGGUCAAGUUUUACAACUUCAAGAUUACAUAUUUAAUUAUCUAUAGUUGAAAAUAAUAUUUUGUAUGAGUUUAAUUGAAACCCACUUAUUUACAGUUAAGUCUGGUGGUAGCUUGUGCAAAUGUUUAAUUUGGUGCUUGUAGGAUAGUUAAUAUAUGCCGAAUUGCAACAUAAGGGCAAAAUUAUCAUUGCUUGAUAUCGUCCAUUUGAUUAGUUUAAAAGCCUUUGUAUAUACCCUAAAAAAGGUGUCCAGUUUCGUGGAAUUCAAAUUUAGAUAAACUUUUUAUAGGUUGGGUUGUGGAAUCUCUUGCUACUGAAAAUCAAGUGUCAUUAUUCAAGAGUUCAUUAGUUAUUUGAUAAUUAUUAUUAAUACUGUCGAUCAUUCUAUUUCUGAUAUAAGGUACAAAAUUUUCAUGAAAUAUAACUAAACACUGUUUCUUGUUGAAAAUAAUUUUCCUAUAAAUCCAGUUUUCCUUACUUAAGAAAGGGAUAACUUCACCAUAUACAGGGUUAAACACAUCAUAGAAAAAUGUGUGAAGUAUAUUUCAUGAUCACUUUUCAUUUUAUUUUUUUUAAUUUUCAUUCCAGCAAUUGCAUUUAAAGUGUUCAUUAUAGUUUUCUUUAUCAUUCUGGUUUUCGUUUAUGGGGUAAAUAGUUCUUUCAUUCAGAUAUGAUGCCGUUCUGGUGGCCUUUAUUGGUGCUCGCAUUUGCAUACGAGAUUUGUAGAUUCCUCCUUAUAAACAUCCCUUCCAACGUACCGUCUCUUCAUGUUGACAUCUCUCUUGGUUCUUCUCUACUCACUACGCGUGUGUAUUUUUUGUUCUUUAUUUUUUCAAUCCUGUAUGGAUUUUGUAUAUGUUAAAAAAAUGUAUAUGUUAGAUAUCUGAAUACUAGGGAUACACGCACAGAUGGCUUGAUUCUCUAUUGCUAACGAAAUACACCUACAGGUUUAGGGGAAAAAAAGAGAGAGAGAGAGAGAGAACAAGAAUUUAGCUAAAUCUAUAUUUCUCUAAUUCUUCUAAACCAAUAAUAUAUGUGUGUAAAAUUCAAUGGCUACUUAACUACAAUAUAUUGUGAGUGCAUUCUCAGAUUGAGUUUUAGCAUUUCUCUGAAUUAGAUGAUUUUCUGUAACUUUUUAAAUUAUUAGUUUUUAUGUAUAUAAAAGUUAGCGCAUAAAUAAUCACACAAAUAUGUGCAUUGGUGAUAGAAUUUUCUGUGAAUUGGAUGAUUACAGUGCUAGAUGAUGGAAAUCAAACAGAGAAAAACACUUCUAUGUUAUAACUAUCAAUGACACACAGAAGAAUUGGUUUCGUUGGAGGAACAGGGGCCACUUGAAACAUUAUAGAAAAAUGAACUGUAGGUAUAAAUGAUAUACAAAAGAAUUUAUGACAAAAAUGCUUAUUUUUUCAGCACUACAACAAAUCACAUUUAAGUAACUCCGAUGGGAUGCAUGUUCUGAUUGUUCAAGUUUCAUUCAAUGCUUUCCUUGUUUCCAUCAACAAUAGCCAAAAGAAUAGGUUAAUCACAAGUUCAAAACAUGCUCAUACAUACAAUUUCCACAAAUUUUAAAAUCGAAGUCUUGGCAGUAAAAUAUAUCUAGCGACUUCUAACUGAAUUGGUCACGUGUAAGAUCAUAUUGGAAUCUAUCUCUCAUCUACACCCAUUUGCAAGCACGGUCACAUAGAUACAGAGGCAUUCUCAGACAUAUCUCAUCCUAAAUAAAGUAUCUAACUUUCCACUUGAUUGUGUAUAGAAUUAAAAAACUUAGUGAAUUGGCACAAUGUAUUAUUCUGGAGUUGGUUGCUUAGAUUGUUUCUCAGAUAGAAAUGAAUCUUUGACAUCAUCAUGCGAAUGAUGCAGCUAUUUUAGCAACCAUUAAGGUGUUUCUACAAUUGACCCUUUAGACUUCUCAUGACCGAUGUUCAUCAACAGGUACAUACAAUUUCAUUCUUAAGUAUCAUCUUUAAUUGACGCUGAAAUUUGUUCUAUUUGGUUUUUUCCAUUGAAUUUACUCAUCCAAACUUCAAUUUUCUUCUUCAGAAGUUGAAUAGAGUAUUCUUAUGAUCUGUCUUGCUGUUUUUGCAAUGUUGAAGAUUUACUUGUUGACAUAUCUUAGACUUGUUUCUAAAUCUCUUUUAAGGAGAAGUUCCUAUACACAUCUAGAUCUCAUUGCUUCUUCUGACACAUGAUUAUUGUUUGAGGAACUGCUGAAGGAACACUAUCAUAGUUGGCAAGUCACUGCAUUGUAAAACCGUCAAAUGAUUCUUUUCAGCAUAUCAUUCCAUCCUUUUAUUCUCCAUUUAGUCCUCCUGUAAGUUGCAUGUUGUGAAUCCAAAAAUGCGUGGAUCUUUAAAGAUAUUUUACAAAUUUAAUCUCUACACAGUUUUGAGUCCUGUUAUAAUGGUGCACAUCAGGCCAAGUAUAAUUCUCAAAUCUCGUAUACAAUUAAAUCAAAUUUAGCAAUGUCCUUAUUCUAAAUUCUAAGCUCUUUUGCUUCAGAUAAAGUAUAUCACAUAUGAAGUUUUCUGUUUCAGCUUACCUAUAAAUUAUGUAAUAUCAUUUGCAGUAAACCUUUCUCUGCCAGGUGCUAUUAUGGUCUCGUGCCUAUUGUGGAGCCUGAAAUUCUUCUGGAUGGAGACCACCCAAUUGAGAGGACACUUGAAUUAGCAGAGCGUUAGCAGAGAACAAUACUAUCUUUGAAGUCAUUCUACAUAAACCUUCCAUGGUAGCUCCAAGUGCUGAGGACAAAGAGUAGGCUUUUCCAAAUACCAUUAUCAAAGAUACACUCACCAUGCUCAAAAGGAGAGUGCCUCUGACAGUUCUAGGAAUCAUGGUAUAAAACUCAACCCCCUGUCAAUUAAGUUAAUACUGUGAAUUUGCCCCUCGGGGUAUAGUCCAGUAGUGCAAAGGAUAAGAGUGAGGUUAUCUCAAGCCUUGCUGGCAGCCGCAAUGUGGGGGUUCGAUUCUUGAGACAUGAAAUUGGACUCCUUGUAGGCACAGUGUACAGACAGUUCUUGUUCCCCGACCUGUUGGGGCAUAUUCCGCGAUUUACUUCCCUCACAAAGCCCCGGGGAGGGGGGGGAGGGGGUGGGAGCCCUCAAGGUUGGGGCUCAACCUUUUUUAGUUAACACUGUGAAUUUUAAAUCUUUGAGUCCCUAUGUAAACAUCACCAUUAUGAUGUCGCAAGUUUCAACACGUCAUUACUAAUAUCAAUAUUUUGACCAUUGAAGAGUACACUGGGUCAAUUAACACUGAUGAGGGUUUCAAAUUUUGAAAUUCAAAAAAUUUGCAAUUGGAGCUUGAAAGGGUGUUUGGUGAUGUGAGUAGGGUGGGAGAAAAAAGUUUGGACUCUAUGCGAUGGGA